GAACGCUGGCGGCGUGCCUAAUACAUGCAAGUCGAGCGAACAGAUGAGGAGCUUGCUCCUCUGACGUUAGCGGCGGACGGGUGAGUAACACGUGGAUAACCUACCUAUAAGACUGGGAUAACUUCGGGAAACCGGAGCUAAUACCGGAUAAUAUAUUGAACCGCAUGGUUCAAUAGUGAAAGACGGUUUUGCUGUCACUUAUAGAUGGAUCCGCGCCGCAUUAGCUAGUUGGUAAGGUAACGGCUUACCAAGGCGACGAUGCGUAGCCGACCUGAGAGGGUGAUCGGCCACACUGGAACUGAGACACGGUCCAGACUCCUACGGGAGGCAGCAGUAGGGAAUCUUCCGCAAUGGGCGAAAGCCUGACGGAGCAACGCCGCGUGAGUGAUGAAGGUCUUCGGAUCGCAAAACUCUGUUAUUAGGGAAGAACAAAUGUGUAAGUAACUAUGCACGUCUUGACGGUACCUAAUCAGAAAGCCACGGCUAACUACGUG
rnacentral:rRNA from 1 species